UACGUAGGGUGCGAGCGUUGUCCGGAAUUAUUGGGCGUAAAGAGCUUGUAGGCGGUUUGUCGCGUCUGCUGUGAAAAUCCGGGGCUCAACCCCGGACUUGCAGUGGGUACGGGCAGACUGGAGUGUGGUAGGGGAGACUGGAAUUCCUGGUGUAGCGGUGGAAUGCGCAGAUAUCAGGAGGAACACCAAUAGCGAAGGCAGCUCGCUGGGACGUUACUGACACUGAGGCGCGAAAGCGUGGGGAGCGAACAGG
rnacentral:rRNA from 1 species